UACAGAGACCUCAAGCGUUAUCCGGAAUCAUUGGGCGUAAAGCGUACCGAUAGGGGGUUUGGUUAGUCUUGGGUGAAAUCCCGAAGCUCAACUUCGGGUUUGCUUAAGAUACUGCCAGACUAGAGGGGCAAAGAGGAGAUUGGAACGAACGGUGUAGUAGUGAAAUGCGUUGAUAUCGUUCGGAACACCGAAAGCGAAGGCAGAUCUCUGGGUGCCUCCUGACACUGCUAGGACGAAAGCGUGGGUAGCGAAUGGG
rnacentral:rRNA from 1 species